UGGGAAUCAUUGCCUGCACUCUUCAU
rnacentral:piRNA from 1 species